CAAGCAGUGGGAGCACAGGUUUACCUGUGUGACUGCGUACCUUUUGUAUAAUGGGUCAGCGACUUAUAUUCUGUAGCAAGGUUAACCGAAUAGGGGAGCCGGAGGGAAACCGAGUCUUAAUUGGGCGUUAAGUUGCAGGGUAUAGACCCGAAACCCGGUGAUCUAGCCAUGGGCAGGUUGAAGGUUGGGUAACACUAACUGGAGGACCGAACCGACUAAUGUUGAAAAAUUAGCGGAUGACCUGUGGCUGGGGGUGAAAGGCCAAUCAAACCGGGAGAUAGCUGGUUCUCCCCGAAAGCUAUUUAGGUAGCGCCUCGUGAAUUCAUCUCCGGGGGUAGAGCACUGUUUCGGCUAGGGGGCCAUCCCGGCUUACCAACCCGAUGCAAACUGCGAAUACCGGAGAAUGUUAUCACGGGAGACACACGGCGGGUGCUAACGUCCGUCGUGAAGAGGGAAACAACCCAGACCGCCAGCUAAGGUCCCAAAGUCAUGGUUAAGUGGGAAACGAUGUGGGAAGGCCCAGACAGCCAGGAUGUUGGCUUAGAAGCAGCCAUCAUUUAAAGAAAGCGUAAUAGCUCACUGGUCGAGUCGGCCUGCGCGGAAGAUGUAACGGGGCUAAACCAUGCACCGAAGCUGCGGCAGCGACGCUUAUGCGUUGUUGGGUAGGGGAGCGUUCUGUAAGCCUGUGAAGGUGGCCUGUGAGGGUUGCUGGAGGUAUCAGAAGUGCGAAUGCUGACAUAAGUAACGAUAAAGCGGGUGAAAAGCCCGCUCGCCGGAAGACCAAGGGUUCCUGUCCAACGUUAAUCGGGGCAGGGUGAGUCGACCCCUAAGGCGAGGCCGAAAGGCGUAGUCGAUGGGAAACGGGUUAAUAUUCCCGUACUUGGUGUUACUGCGAAGGGGGGACGGAGAAGGCUAUGUUGGCCGGGCGACGGUUGUCCCGGUUUAAGCGUGUAGGUGUGUGUUCCAGGUAAAUCCGGUUCACUUUAACACUGAGGCGUGAUGACGAGGCACUACGGUGCUGAAGUAACAAAUGCCCUGCUUCCAGGAAAAGCCUCUAAGCAUCAGGUAACAUCAAAUCGUACCCCAAACCGACACAGGUGGUCAGGUAGAGAAUACCAAGGCGCUUGAGAGAACUCGGGUGAAGGAACUAGGCAAAAUGGUGCCGUAACUUCGGGAGAAGGCACGCUGACACGUAGGUGAAGU
rnacentral:rRNA from 1 species